rnacentral:rRNA from 1 species
ACUCCUACGGGAGGCAGCAGUGGGGAAUAUUGGGCAAUGGGCGCAAGCCUGACCCAGCAACGCCGCGUGAAGGAAGAAGGCUUUCGGGUUGUAAACUUCUUUUCUCAGGGACGAAGCAAGUGACGGUACCUGAGGAAUAAGCCACGGCUAACUACGUGCCAGCAGCCGCCGUAAUACGUAGGUGGCAAGCGUUAUCCGGAUUUACUGGGUGUAAAGGUCGUGUAGGCGGGAAAGCAAGUCAGUUUUGAACACCAU